rnacentral:rRNA from 1 species
GACGAACGCUGGCGGCGUGCCUAAUACAUGCAAGUCGAACGCUUCUUUCCUCCCGAGUGCUUGCACUCAAUUGGAAAGAGGAGUGGCGGACGGGUGAGUAACACGUGGGUAACCUACCCAUCAGAGGGGGAUAACACUUGGAAACAGGUGCUAAUACCGCAUAACAGUUUAUGCCGCAUGGCAUAAGAGUGAAAGGCGCUUUCGGGUGUCGCUGAUGGAUGGACCCGCGGUGCAUUAGCUAGUUGGUGAGGUAACGGCUCACUAAGGCCACGAUGCAUAGCCGACCUGAGAGGGUGAUCGGCCACACUGGGACUGAGACACGGCCCAGACUCCUACGGGAGGCAGCAGUAGGGAAUCUUCGGCAAUGGACGAAAGUCUGACCGAGCAACGCCGCGUGAGUGAAGAAGGUUUUCGGAUCGUAAAACUCUGUUGUUAGAGAAGAACAAGGACGUUAGUAACUGAACGUCCCCUGACGGUAUCUAACCAGAAAGCCACGGCUAACUACGUG